GACGAACGCUGGCGGCGUGCUUAACACAUGCAAGUCGAACGGAAAGGCCCUGCUUUUGUGGGGUGCUCGAGUGGCGAACGGGUGAGUAACACGUGAGUAACCUGCCCUUGACUUUGGGAUAACUUCAGGAAACUGGGGCUAAUACCGGAUAGGAGCUCCUGCUGCAUGGUGGGGGUUGGAAAGUUUCGGCGGUUGGGGCUAGACUCGCGGCUUAUCAGCUUGUUGGUGGGGUAGUGGCUUACCAAGGCUUUGACGGGUAGCCGGCCUGAGAGGGUGACCGGCCACAUUAGGACUGAGAUACGGCGCAGACUCCUACGGGAGGCAGCAGUGGGGAAUAUUGCACAAUGGGCGGGAGCCUGAUGCAGCAACGCCGCGUGCGGGAUGACGGCCUUCGGGUUGUAAACCGCUUUCGCCUGUGACGAAGCGUGAGUGACGGUAAUGGGUAAAGAAGCACCGGCUAACUACGUG
rnacentral:rRNA from 1 species